GGAAGCGAAUGGAGCCGACGUAUCUAGUGCGUAUUCAGCCUUCUGGGCGCGUGAUUGGUGUUUGUGCAUUGCCGCAAGGUGUGCCUGGCGCUAUUGUCGCGUGUUCGGUUGGUGCAUUUGCGUACGGAGUGCGCCGGGUUGUGUGGUGUUGUCGGACGAUGCGCGUUUAGAGGACCCGGGCUUCGGCGCUGGGAACCCUGGGCGUGUGGAGUUCGGUUGGCGCUGCGCAGCUUUGUGGAGACGUGGGUUUUUCGCGUGCCGCGGUGUCGACAGGCUCGGUUCGGGUGGUACACAUGUGUGCAGCCCUUAUGGGGUCGGUCGGUGUUGUGGUGUGCUCUGCGUUCUUCCCGGUGUUCAGUCGGUGACCCAUUCGACCCGUCUUGAAACACGGACCAAGGAGUUUAUGGUAUGCGCAAGUCAUUGGGUUUGUCGAAGCCUAAAGGCGUAAUGAAAGUGAGACAUUACUUGUCUGAACGUGACUGGGUGCGGCAUUCGUGCGGCCCAAGCAACGUUGCCCCGUUUCGAGGACUUGUCCUGAUGCGGAGGUUGAGCGUAUGCUAUGAGACCCGAAAGAUGGUGAACUAUGCCUGGAAGCAGGA
rnacentral:rRNA from 1 species